rnacentral:rRNA from 1 species
GACGAACGCUGGCGGCGUGCUUAACACAUGCAAGUCGAACGGAAAGGCCCUGCAUGGGUGGGGUGCCCGAGUGGCGAAUGGGUGAGUAACACGUGAGUAACCUGCCCUGGACUUUGGGAUAACUUCAGGAAACUGGGGCUAAUAUCGGAUAGGAGCUCCUGCUGCAUGGUCGGGGGUGGAUCGUUUCGGUGGUGGGGGAUGGACCCGCGGCUUAUCGGCUUGUUGUUCGGGUAGUGGCUUACCAAGGCUUUGACGGGUUGCGGGCCUGGGAGGGUGGCCAACGACAUUGGGACUGAGAGACGGCCCAGACUCCGACUGGCGGCAUCAGUGGCAACUAUUGCACAAUGGGCGGAAGCCUGAGUGCGCAACGCCCGGUGCGGGAUGACGGCUUGCGGGUUGUCAAACGCUUGUGGCUGUGACCGAGCGUGAGUGACGGUAAUGGGUAAAGAAGAACCGGCUAACUACGUG